GACGAACGCUGGCGGCGUGCUUAACACAUGCAAGUCGAGCGGAGCGGCGAACGGGUGAGUAAAGCGUGAGUAACUGCCCCCCUCUCUGGGAUAACAUGUGGAAACGGCUGCUAAUACCGGAUAGUGGGGGGUGAAUCGCGGCGUAUCAGCUGGUUGGUGGGGUAGUGGCCUACCAAGGCGACGACGGGUAGCCGGUCUGAGGGGGCGACCGGCCACAUUGGGCUGAGAGACGGCCCAAACUCCUACGGGAGGCAGCAGUGGGGAAUAUUGCACAAUGGGGGAAGCCCUGAUGCAGAAGCGCCGCGUGCGGGAUGACGGCUUUCGGGUUGUAAACCGCUUUCAGCCAUGACGCGGUAGUGGCAGAAGAAGCACCUGCUAACUACGUGCCAGCAGCCGCGGUAAUAC
rnacentral:rRNA from 1 species